rnacentral:lncRNA from 1 species
GGUAAAUCCACUCUCCUAAACAUCCUCACUGGAUAUAAGCAAAUCAUGUGGAGAUGAUACCGGAACGAACAUAUGGCUCAAGUUUAGAUAGCUACAUUUCCUUCCAUCGUGGAUAUAUUUUUCGAUGUUUUGGGUAUGAUGGAGAAUAAAACUAUACAUUUUUGAA